GGCAGUGUGGCCGAGUGGUUUAGGGCACUGGUCUUGUAAUCCGGUGGUCCCGGAUUCAAGCCCUCCGUCCUGCCA
rnacentral:tRNA from 1 species